rnacentral:rRNA from 1 species
AGAGUUUGAUCCUGGCUCAGGACGAACGCUGGCGGCGUGCUUAACACAUGCAAGUCGAACGAGAAUCUACUGAAAGAGUUUUCGGACAAUGGAAGUAGAGGAAAGUGGCGGACGGGUGAGUAACGCGUGAGGAACCUGCCUUGAAGAGGGGGACAACAGUUGGAAACGACUGCUAAUACCGCAUGAAGCAUAGGGGUCGCAUGAUUCUUAUGCCAAAGAUUUAUCGCUUCAAGAUGGCCUCGCGUCUGAUUAGCUAGUUGGCGGGGUAACGGCCCACCAAGGCGACGAUCAGUAGCCGGACUGAGAGGUUGAACGGCCACAUUGGGACUGAGAUACGGCCCAGACUCCUACGGGAGGCAGCAGUGGGGAAUAUUGGGCAAUGGGCGCAAGCCUGACCCAGCAACGCCGCGUGAAGGAAGAAGGCUUUCGGGUUGUAAACUUCUUUUAAGAGGGAAGAGCAGAAGACGGUACCUCUAGAAUAAGCCACGGCUAACUACGUGCCAGCAGCCGCGGUAAUACGUAGGUGGCAAGCGUUGUCCGGAUUUACUGGGUGUAAAGGGCGUGCAGCCGGGUCUGCAAGUCAGAUGUGAAAUCCAUGGGCUCAACCCAUGAACUGCAUUUGAAACUGUAGAUCUUGAGUGUCGGAGGGGCAAUCGGAAUUCCUAGUGUAGCGGUGAAAUGCGUAGAUAUUAGGAGGAACACCAGUGGCGAAGGCGGAUUGCUGGACGAUAACUGACGGUGAGGCGCGAAAGUGUGGGGAGCAAACAGGAUUAGAUACCCUGGUAGUCCACACUGUAAACGAUGAAUACUAGGUGUGCGGGGACUGACCCCCUGCGUGCCGCAGUAAACACAAUAAGUAUUCCACCUGGGGAGUACGAUCGCAAGGUUGAAACUCAAAGGA